AUCCAGCUGACGAGUCCCAAAUAAGAUGAAACUCGCUUCCUGGAU
rfam:Schistosoma mansoni, Puerto Rico, WGS project CABG01000000 data, contig: 0137